UUCCGGUUGAUCCCGCCGGAGGCCACUGCUAUGGGGGUCCAACUAAGCCAUGCGAGUCAUGGGGCGCGCUCUGCGCGCACCGGCGGACGGCUCAGUAACACGUCGGUAACCUACCCUCGGGAGGGGGAUAACCCCGGGAAACUGGGGCUAAUCCCCCAUAGGCCUGAGGUACUGGAAGGUCCUCAGGCCGAAAGGGGCUUUCGCCCGCCCGAGGAUGGGCCGGCGGCCGAUUAGGUAGUUGGUGGGGUAACGGCCCACCAAGCCGAAGAUCGGUACGGGCCAUGAGAGUGGGAGCCCGGAGAUGGACACUGAGACACGGGUCCAGGCCCUACGGGGCGCAGCAGGCGCGAAACCUCCGCAAUGCGGGAAACCGCGACGGGGGGACCCCCAGUGCCGUGGCAUCGCCACGGCUUUUCCGGAGUGUAAAGAGCUCCGGGAAUAAGGGCUGGGCAAGGCCGGUGGCAGCCGCCGCGGUAAUACCGGCGGCCCGAGUGGUGGCCGCUAUUAUUGGGCCUAAAGCGUCCGUAGCCGGGCCCGUAAGUCCCUGGCGAAAUCCCACGGCUCAACCGUGGGGCUUGCUGGGGAUACUGCGGGCCUUGGGACCGGGAGAGGCCGGGGGUACUCCUGGGGUAGGGGUGAAAUCCUAUAAUCCCAGGAGGACCGCCAGUGGCGAAGGCGCCCGGCUGGAACGGGUCCGACGGUGAGGGACGAAGGCCAGGGGAGCGAACCGGAUUAGAUACCCGGGUAGUCCUGGCUGUAAAGGAUGCGGGCUAGGUGUCGGGCGAGCUUCGAGCUCGCCCGGUGCCGAAGGGAAGCCGUUAAGCCCGCCGCCUGGGGAGUACGGCCGCAAGGCUGAAACUUAAAGGAAUUGGCGGGGGAGCACUACAAGGGGUGGAGCGUGCGGUUUAAUUGGAGUCAACGCCGGA
rnacentral:rRNA from 1 species